UACGAAGGGGGCUAGCGUUGCUCGGAAUCACUGGGCGUAAAGGGUGCGUAGGCGGGUCUUUAAGUCAGGGGGGAAAUCCUGGAGCUCAACUCCAGAACUGCCUUUGAUACUGGGAAGCUUGAGUCCGGAAGAGGUGAGUGGAACUCCGAGUGUAGAGGUGAAAUUCGUAGAUAUUCGGAAGAACACCAGUGGCGAAGGCGGCUCACUGGUCCGGUACUGACGCUGAGGUGCGAAAGCGUGGGGAGCAAACAGG
rnacentral:rRNA from 1 species